UACGAAGGGGGCUAGCGUUGUUCGGAAUUACUGGGCGUAAAGCGCGCGCAGGCGGUCUUCCAAGUCAGUGGUGAAAGCCCGGAGCUCAACUCCGGAACUGCCAUUGAAACUGUGAGACUUGAGUAUGAGAGAGGUGAGUGGAAUUCCCAGUGUAGAGGUGAAAUUCGUAGAUAUUGGGAAGAACACCGGUGGCGAAGGCGGCUCACUGGACCAUUACUGACGCUGAUGCACGAAAGCUAGGGGAGCAAACAGG
rnacentral:rRNA from 1 species